rnacentral:rRNA from 1 species
AUGAAGGACCUGAUAGUCCGGCUAUGGCCUGCCGAGCCUGUACCUGGUAGCUAUUUUGGACUUGUUAAGCGGCUUGUAAAUGCCUGUCCGUGGCUCGAAACCGUGAAGCAAUCGGUUUGCAUUGAAGAUGCGCGUAUGGCCUUUGCUCGCGUCAAGACGCAUUGGGCAAAGCUGGAUGCCAAGAAGCUAAUGGCCGAGGGGCCGCCGGAGGGCAAGGAGCAUCGUCGACUCGAGCUCUAUUUUGAUGGCGUCCUGGAGGGGUCCCGCCUUGUGGCGGAACAAUGUUCGAAGGAUAUUAUAUUCCCAUGA